rfam:Halarchaeum acidiphilum MH1-52-1 DNA, contig: HAL023.
UAGGGAACUGCACGGCCGCAUAUCCGACGCGCCACGCGUUCGCGUGGCUUGGGAGUGUGGCAGUGC